rnacentral:lncRNA from 1 species
UUUCUUCUAAUUUCUAAAAUUGAAACAAUUACUAUGAUCUACAAAAUUUGAAGAACAACUAUGAAUCAAUAAUUUACUGCUAUAAUCAACAAAGGAUAAAUUAACUUCAUCUGACACAUGCUGAAUAAUCUACAUAAAUAUGAUUGCAAGUCAUGGCAAGUAUUCGUAAGUGAUUUGAGAAAGUCCAUGCAUGGGAGCAGGACAAAGAGAAAUAAUCUGAUCAUCCCUAAGAGGUUUCAAGAAUGAGCAAUUGCGUAAAGCUGAGUCCUGGAAGGCUGCCUGUAGGGGGCAGUAUGUGGUCUGGCCUUAAGGACAAACGGAAUUUUCACCGGAGAAGACUGUGGCGGGGGCUUUUCAGGAGGAAUGAAUAGGAAGAGUACAGGAGGCUGUAUAGCAGCAGGUGGCUUUGUUUGGUUGGAAAACACUCCAAGUGAAAAGGCAUUGUGAAGAAUGGAAGAGCUACUGAGAAACCAGCCUAUGGAGUUUGGCUGUCUCUCCUAGUCACAAAUAAGGAGCUGUUACUGGUUUUUGUCAAAAGAACAGGAUGAUCACAUCUGUGCCUUAGGACACUUUAGAUGGGGCAGAACAGGUACAGGGGAUGUGGUGGGGGAAGAAAUGACUCGAUUUCAAACAAAUCAAAUAAAUUACUUUGAUGUUUAAAAAAAAAAAAUAAAAUUGUUUGUUUUUAUAGAAAUAGUGUUACUGGGUAAACAGGUAUGAAAAUCAUUGAACUGAGAUAUAAUGGGAAAUUACUUUCUACAAAGAUGGUACCAACCUAUAUUCUGACUAGCAGUGGUUUAAAGUGCUCUCAAGAGUACUUGAUAAUACAUUUAAUUUUUUUUUUGUACUUACAAUGGGCCAGUAACCAUUUCAGUCUCCAGAAAUAUGGUGGCAAACAUACAUCUUUGCUACUGUAGAGCUUAAAUUCUAAAUAGACAAGAGCAUUUCACAACUGGUAAGUGCUAUAAAGAAAAUUAGGGGAAGAAAGUGGAAAGUUAUUGCCAUCUGAGGCUAUAAGCACAUUAGAUAAAGUGACCAGGAAGAUUCCUUUGAGGAAGUGAUAUUUAAGCUGAGACCUGAAUAAUGAGAAGGAUCUACCCCAUGAAGACCAACGGGAAGAAUUUUUUU